UAGCAGUCAGUUCUGGCCCGAUUCUGGCUUUUUUCCGCCAGUGUCGGCUGAAAGCCGGACAGAUUUUUAGUGUAUGCGCCAGAACUGGCCCAGAUGAGGAAAUAGUAUACCAGUAGUAAACACAAUUUAUAGCUGUUGGCCCGAGUGUAAGCAUACUCAGCUGAAGUCCGGGUCUACUAAAGUAGUGUCUCAGUGUAAUCGGGCCGAAUCUGGCAUUGUGUAGUCGGACCGACUACAUUGCAUUGUGCCUGGACCGAUUAUGGUUUGAUAUGAUACUGCCAAGAUGUGUAUGAUGUCAGAAAUUCAGUAUGUGGCCCGAUGCCAGUGCAACUGACACAUGCCGGUUGUAACGCUGUUUGGUGGCAAUUUAAAAAUGUUUAUGCUUCAGACGGACAGUAUACAGUACACGGCCCGAUUCCGUGAUGUGGCAAUCAGCCCUCUAGCUGUUGAACGGCAACAUCACGACUGCUGUUAUGAUUUGAAUCAAGCAGAGCACAAAGCUGAGCUCCCGUUCGACACAGACACCAUCAUCAAUAACUGAUUAACUGGUUGGGGCUUAUUGGCGGGACAGAUGUACGAGACUGCACAUGGCAUUGAAGAGGGCGACUGACAAAUCCCUGGCUUAAAACCUCAACUGGAUGGAAAAGACUUUAUUUGCCACCCUCCAACUCAGAGAGGUAGUGAUUGAUGCAGUUCGGAGAAGGUCCCUUACAGUUGUGGAGGUGACAAUGAAGAGGUGGCUCGAUCGAGAGGGUGGGUGCAAGAGACAACUUUAGCAAAAGAAAAGCAGUUUGUGUUAGCGCCUGUGUUUGUGUCUGCAAAGGAGAAUGUUUUGUUCUGUAAAAAGAGUGGUGGUGUUUUGGUUAAAUGUGUUUAACUUGUUUUAAUUACUUGGUUUGUGUGUGAGAGGUGUGUGUGCGGGUGGGUUGGUAUAUGUGGUUUAUGGGGA